rnacentral:rRNA from 1 species
GGUAAUACGUAGGGUCCGAGCGUUGUCCGGAAUUAUUGGGCGUAAAGAGCUCGUAGGCGGUUUGUCGCGUCUGCUGUGAAAACUGGAGGCUCAACCUCCAGCCUGCAGUGGGUACGGGCAGACUAGAGUGCGGUAGGGGAGAAUGGAAUUCCUGGUGUAGCGGUGGAAUGCGCAGAUAUCAGGAGGAACACCGAUGGCGAAGGCAGUUCUCUGGGCCGUAACUGACGCUGAGGAGCGAAAGCGUGGGGAGCGAACAGGAUUA